rnacentral:rRNA from 1 species
CCCUUAGAUGUUCUGGGCUGCACGCGCGCUACACUGAUGCACUCGACGAGUUUAUAACCUUGCCCGGUAGGGUUGGGUAAUCUUUUGAAAGCGCAUCGUGAUGGGGAUAGAUUAUUGCAAUUUUUGAUCUUCAACGAGGAAUUCCUAGUAAACGCAAGUCAUCAGCUUGCAUUGAUUACGUCCCUGCCCUUUGUACACACCGCCCGUCGCACCUACCGAUUGAAUGGUCCGGUGAAUCUUUAGGACUGUGGCUGAGGCCUUGCCUUGUGCGGGUCUGGCCGUGGGAAUUUAGUUAAACCUUACCAUUUAGAGGAAGGUGAAGUCGUAACA